GAUGAGCGCUGGCGGCGUGCCUAAGACGUGCAAGUCGUGCGGUAACAGGCCCUUCGGGGUGCUGACGAGCGGCGGACGGCUGAGUAACGCGUGGGAAUCUGCCCCAAAGUGAGGAAUAACUGCCCGAAAGGGUGGCUAAUGCCGCAUAUGCUCUUCGGAGUAAAGCUUUCGAGCGCUUUGGGAGGAGCCCGCGUCAGAUUAGAUAGUUGGUGGGGUAAUGGCUCACCAAGUCGAUGAUCUGUAACUGGUCUGAGAGGACGAGCAGCCACACUGGGACUGAGACACGGCCCAGACUCCUACGGGAGGCAGCAGUGGGGAAUUUUGGACAAUGGGCGAAAGCCUGAUCCAGCAAUGCCGCGUGUGUGAAGAAGGCCUUCGGGUUGUAAAGCACUUUUGUCCGGAAAGAAAUGGCUCUGGUUAAUACCUGGGGUCGAUGACGGUACCGGAAGAAUAAGGACCGGCUAACUACGUGCCAGCCGCCGCGGUAA
rnacentral:rRNA from 1 species